rnacentral:rRNA from 1 species
CGAAAGCCUGACGGAGCAACGCCGCGUGAGGGAUGAAGGCCUCUGGGCUGUAAACCUCUUUUAUCAAGGAAGAAGAUCUGACGGUACUUGAUGAAUAAGCCACGGCUAAUUCCGUGCCAGCAGCCGCGGUAAUACGGGAGUGGCAAGCGUUAUCCGGAAUUAUUGGGCGUAAAGCGUCCGCAGGCGGUCUUGAAAGUCUGUUGUUAAAGCGUGGAGCUCAACUCCAUUUCAGCAAUGGAAACUAGAAGACUAGAGUGUGGUAGGGGCAGAGGGAAUUCCCGGUGUAGCGGUGAAAUGCGUAGAUAUUGGGAAGAACACCAGUGGCGAAGGCGCUCUGCUGGGCCAUAACUGACGCUCAUGGACGAAAGCCAGGGGAGCG